rnacentral:tRNA from 1 species
UCUCCUGUAGUUUAUUGGUAGAACAAAGGAUUCUAAUUCCUUCAGGCGGGGUUCGAUUCCCCGCGGGAGAU